CUACGGGAGGCUGCAGUGGGGAAUAUUGCACAAUGGGCGCAAGCCUGAUGCAGCAACGCCGCGUGAACGAUGAAGGUCUUCGGAUCGUAAAGUUCUUUUCUUAGGGAAGAAAAAUGACGGUACCUAAGGAAUAAGCACCGGCUAAAUACGUGCCAGCAGCCGCGGUAAUACGUAUGGUGCAAGCGUUAUCCGGAAUCACUGGGCGUAAAGGGAGCGUAGGCGGUUUUGCAAGUCAGAAGUGAAAGGCUACGGCUCAACCGUGGUAAGCUUUUGAAACUGCAAGACUAGAGUGCAGGAGAGGCAAGUGGAAUUCCUAGUGUAGAGGUGAAAUUCGUAGAUAUUAGGAGGAACACCAGUGGCGAAGGCGACUUGCUGGACUGUAACUGACGCUGAGGCUCGAAAGCGUGGGGAGCGAACAGGAUUAGAUACCCUCGUAGUC
rnacentral:rRNA from 1 species